UACGUAGGUGGCAAGCGUUAUCCGGAAUUAUUGGGCGUAAAGCGCGCGCAGGUGGUUCUUUUAAGUCUGAUGUGAAAGCCCCCCGGCUCAACCGGGGAGGGUCAUUGGAAACUGGGGAACUUGAGUAUAGAAGAGGAAAGUGGAAUUCCACGUGUAGCGGUGAAAUGCGUAGAGAUGUGGAGGAACACCAGUGGCGAAGGCGACUUUCUGGUCUAUAACUGACACUGAGGCGCGAAAGCGUGGGGAGCAAACAGG
rnacentral:rRNA from 1 species